AGCAAAUCCCUAAAAGACCAUCCCAGUUCGGAUCGCAGGCUGCAACCCGCCUGCGUGAAGCUGGAAUCGCUGGUAAUCGCGGAUCAGAAUGCCGCGGUGAAUACGUUCCCGGGUCUUGUACACACCGCCCGUCACACCAUGGGAGUCAGUAACGCCCGAAGCCGGUGACCCAACCUAACAAGGAGGGAGCCGUCGAAGGCGGGACGGAUGACUGGGGUGAAGUCGUAACAAGGUACC
rnacentral:rRNA from 1 species